GGAGAAAUGGAAAAAGCUAGCCCAACAGAAACCAAUAAACACUGUCUGUAGAUGGAAAAGUGACUACAUCAUCAGACUGAUUCAGUUCUACAAGUUCAAAAUUGAGGACUCUGCUGAACAUUGAGGAAAAAAUACCGUAUCGGGAGAAGAUGGCAAGAGUCUGAUUCAAACUUCCAGUCUACCCUUAAAGAUGUGGACCGUGAGCUCAGAGUCCAAAUGCAAGGCUAGAACUGAAUCAAGGGAGAGAGCAGUCGUCCUCCACCAGAGAAGAAUAUAUCCAGCUUUGCUUCAGAUGGGCU